UUUGUAUAUUUUACAUGAAAAUUAAUAAAAUAAAAUUUGCAGCCGCUGCGUUUAAAUCAGCAAAUUGGAUUUGAUGAAUAUUUUUCAGCUUGAUUUGCUUUAUCCAUAUUUUGUAGUUUGGCUCAUAUUUGCUUUUUGUUUAUUUAGAAGAUCAUUUAUGGAUACAUAACUUGUGGUUUGUACUAAUGGUGUCUACUUAUGAUUUCCAUAAUUUAGAAACACUAAACGUAGAAAAACUAUCAUGUUCUGUAAAACAACAUGUGUAUUAUGUUUUUGCUGUUUAUCUUUAGGUACAUCAAAAAACUCGAAUCGAUAGAACUUGAAUUAGUAAGGGUAGCACGUGAGAUACAAGUCCACCAAUGGACCGAUAUCAAAGAAAUGAAGGCGAUACAAGUCCACCAAUGGACCGAUAUCAAAGAAAUGAAGGCGAUACAAGUCGACCAAUGGACCGAUAUCAAAGAAAUGAAGGCGAUACAAGUCGACCAAUGGAUCGAUAUCAAAGAAAUGAAGGCGAUACAAGUCGACCAAUGGACCGAUAUCAAAGAAAUGAAGGCCCAGAUAUCUGAAAAGCAUAAUAA
rnacentral:lncRNA from 1 species